CACGAGCCCCACGUGGCUAUUGUCAGGACAGUGAACAGGCAGUUUCGUUCGACGUCCCGUGCUCUUGGGAACAACACUGUUGGGAGUCCUGGAAAUGCUGGCACGGUACUUCCGGGUAGCUGAUGCUAAAAGAAUUGGUGGUGCUUCCAUCACUAAGUCCGGAUUCAUCAGACACCUCAGAGGAGCUGCCCCACAGGAUGUCAUCACUGGCAUCAAAAUAUUCUGCAGCCGAGUCUGCCACCGAAGGAGGUCCUUGGGAUGAACGCCUCACUGCCUCAGGCUGGCACCGGAGGAAGAGAAACAGGAAUGAACAAAGAAAAUCAGCCACCAAGUAUAAAUAAAACAAACACAGGAUAAAGUGUGCCAGAGAGUCCAGAUGAGAAAUCUAACCUGAGCUAAUGUGUUAGACUGGUGCAUGUUGUUAGUGUCCCAGACUGCCUGCAGCUUCUGCCUCUCCUGGGACAGAGUCUCAUGCACCGACUUCAGAGAGCUGAGCACUAAAGGAGCAUUAAACAACAGUUUCUGUUGAACAGGAAGAUAUCUGUGGCAUUUACAUAUUUUGCAAUAAAGCGAUUCCCAGGAUAAAUAUGCUAAAACUAACGUUUGUCUACCAGUAGAUGGCAUAUUUGUGUUGACAUGUUUCUCUGACCUCGUUGAGACAUAGCGCAGAUGUCCUGUUGGAUUUUCUUCCCUUCGGGCGAAUUGACCGUGGAAGGGGAGAGCUGAGAGUAGACGUAGUCGGGGAUACACGGGACUGAUGCACCGAGGUGGGCCGAGUUGCUCAGGUGACUGGAGGACAGCUGUGAAGUGAACAGAGGAAGGACUGUGGUUGAUUCCCUUGCUAUUUGUCUUUGAGUGAGUAGAUGUCACUGUUGUGUUGUGUUAUCCAGCACAGGUUUAACCAGCACUAUGAAGGGAAGUCCCAGUGUUUAUACCAUGCAGGGAAUGGGAAUGCACCACCGACAUACAGAGAUCUUCACAAAUCUUACUAGUACUGCUGAAAGUGGAAGUCCUGUUUUACUGCUCAUCAGGUUUGUGCUUACAGAACAUCUGAGAGGAUCCAAAUGAUCUUUGGGUCUAUUUGGGACAUCUGUGGUUAUAUUUAGAUCCCCCGAAAGGCUUUUUAAAACAUCCAGCGUCGUAUUUGCAUGUCUUUGGGCUUGUGAAGACCUCUAAUGUUAGGGGUUAACAGAGACUACAAAAGCACCUACAACGGAGUGGAAAGAAUAGUUUGAUAUUAGGGAAAUGUGUGCUGUCUUAGAUGAGUUGGAUGAGAAGACGUCUGUUUUUCGUCUGCGCUGCCAUCAUUGUCUUCACCUGCUGUUGAUUUCUUACACCUUUAUCUUAUUUCCCUACAUAAGUCUUCUUACAUAAUGGUCCACAGUGUAUAUAUAGUCAUUUUUUCCUCUGUAUCCUUUUCCCUGUCUGAUUGUUUGUGAUUGUGUGGAUUUCCCACAUCAGGUUUUUGCAUUAUUCUGGAAUUAUUGUUAAUAAAGCUUGCUUUUUGUUUCUUUAUUGAGCCUAUUUGU